UAUGGCAUGGCCAAAAGGCUGAUGCCCAAAAAAUGUCUUGUCUUGUUUUUUUUGUUGGGUCUGGAUGUGGUUGUCGUGUGCCGAAAAUAUAAAUAUCAUGAGUAUUUUAAAUGAGACGCCGCAGAAAUGAUGGGUCGCAGAAAUGAUUGUCGGGACGAACUGCUGGAAAGGAUUAUGCAAAUAAGAUUAAAGUAAAUGACGGUCUUUGGGGGUCUAAAGAGAUGAUCGUACAUAUGUACAUAUAAGACUCGUUUUACACUCUGCAAAUCUCUGCAAAUGUGAGACUCCUCUCGCAGCGUUUUUCCGUUAUGCUAUCGUUUUCAAAUGGCCCUGGCAAU